rnacentral:lncRNA from 1 species
GCACACAGCUGUGCUUUAAAACAGGUGAGCUGUAUGGCAUGUGAAUUAUGUCACAAUAAAGCUACCACCAAAAAGUUUUUUAAAGUAUCAAGUGUCGAAAGAAUAAAAGACUCUCCAUAGCAUAUCAUCAGAUUUCCUCUGUACUUCUGGACAACUUGUAUCAGAAAUAUCACAGCAGAAGAUGGUGGAGUGGUGAGCAACAGAGAAAGAGCUUCUCAGAGAUUUGGUGUCCUGACACUGGAAUAUAGCAGCAUGAGGAGAAGGGAAGUGGGUCCCUAGGACCCAGGAAAGAUCUGAGAUUUCAGGGAGUCAGUGAAGUUGAAGAACUGGUGGAGAAACACUCAAGAGGAAAUGUCUACAGAGGAACUUCUGGCCAAGCAACAAAGAAUGCCAGCUGAGGAGCUUUCUGAAGAGGAGGGAGAGUAUCAACAAUCAGC